rnacentral:sRNA from 1 species
GAGCGAAAGUGAGAAAGCUUUGCCGCAGGCAACGACCCGAAGGGCGAAACGCGCAGCGCUGAGUCAUCCUUCCCCCACCACCA